rnacentral:rRNA from 1 species
UAGUUUGAUCCUGGCUCAGGAUAAACGCUGGCGGCGCACAUAAGACAUGCAAGUCGAACGAACUUAACCAUUAGUUUACUAUUGGAGCGGUUAGUGGCGGACUGGUGAGUAACACGUAAGCAACCUGCCUAUCAGAGGGGAACAACAGUUAGAAAUGACUGCUAAUACCGCAUAUGCCUUAGAAUCACAUGGUUCAAAAGGGAAAGGAGCAAUCCGCUGAUAGAUGGGCUUGCGUCUGAUUAGCUAGUUGGUGGGGCAACGGCCUACCAAGGCGACGAUCAGUAGCCGAACUGAGAGGUUGAACGGCCACAUUGGGACUGAGAUACGGCCCAGACUCCUACGGGAGGCAGCAGUCGGGAAUAUUGCGCAAUGGAGGAAACUCUGACGCAGUGACGCCGCGUGCAGGAAGAAGGUUUUCGGAUUGUAAACUGCUUUAGACAGGGAAGAACAAAGACAGUACCUGUAGAAUAAGCUCCGGCUAACUACGUGCCAGCAGCCGCGGUAAUAC